GGCGCCUUUCCCAGAAAUUGGGCAGAGAUUUAGGCCUUACAGUUACUUAAACUUGUAACCCUCCCAGUAGCUGUGGAGUCUAGUAAACGUGGCUUCUGCCGGGUUCGCCGGUCAGCCCAGGCUGUUGAGGGGCAGGCAUGGGGCCCGUGGGCCAGAGGAGACCUCCAGGCUUCUCUCCCACUCUUCUCUGGCCUGCACCCCCUCUUGGGUAGAGGCUGCACCUCCUGCUUGGGUUCGGCCACCUCCAAAUACUGCAUCGACGGCCCGUGUCUCUGCCUGCGGGGCUGGGCCAGCGCCAGAGACGCAGGCAAAGCGCCAGCCGCCCAGGGGCAGCAGCUGGCGAGUUGAGGUUGGUCUUUCGGCUGAGGGUUCGGGGAGCUGGGGAUCCUGACCCGACACACUUUGCGUGUGCCACAAAACCACAGCCUUUCCUUCCCAUCCAGCCUCGUCUGCAUGAGAAAGCAUCACCUUUGCUUUCGGUUUGAUGCGGCAGUUCUCAGCCAGGCUGGAGGCAGCCUGGAAUCCCAGAUCUCCUACUGACACCUCAGGUCUCCCCCGCGGCUCCGGGGACGUCCCUAACCCCUGAUGCUGCACCACAGGCAGACCUGCCAGAACCUCACCACCACCAAGAUUGCUACCUGGAGAUUCCUGCUUGCCCCAAACCCCAGAUCAUUGCUGCCACUCUGAAUCUAACAACCCUGCUGACAAAAUUUCAUAGCUGUCCUUUGAAAAACUUUACAAGGGCACCACUUCUGCGUCCCUCAUUCCCACUGCUCCGGAUCCCUGUCUACAGAGCCACUCCUCCCGCCGGUGUGAUCCUGGAGCCCACGGUGGCCCCUGCUUUGAAGAGCCUGUUGGUCCAGUCCUUCCCGCCUUCUGCAGAGCUGUUCUCCUCCUUCUAAAGAAGUCACCUGGGCCCUGGGCCCCGUCUUCCUGGCUCCACAGAGUCCCUGUGGCUGCAGGCACUGCUUCUCUCUCCUGCACCCAAUCCCUCUCCCACUCCACUGCCUCUGGGUGUGCAAAAACACUGAUGUUUCCCAUAUUUUCAAAAUCUCUCCCCUGUAGUUCCCACCUGACUUCUAAUAGGUGGCCAAAGUACAGACAUUAAUGUAUGUUAAGGCACAUAAUUAAUGCAUAUUAAAAGUUAACAAUAAUGAAUAAGUAAUUAUUAUUAUACAUUAAAGUCUUAAUGUAUAAUGAGAAGUAUUAACUAUUCAGAAGUCCAAGCACUUGUGUGUGUGUGUGCAUGGUGCUAUCGCCUUGCUGUGGGCAAACCUGCAUUGGCACAGAGGCCACUUCCUGAGCCUGGACCCAGUCUCAGAGCUGGGGAACUGGCCCAGUGCAAAAGGGUCGGGAGCAUCUGCAACAGAGCCUGAGCUCUGCCAUCGUCAUUGACACAGCCUCCAUCCACCCUCCCCAACUCAACAGAGAGAGCGCUCCAUCAUACUUCUAAGACUUAGUAGGCCAAGAGGGGCUGAAUUAAAUUCUCUGAGACUUGUCUUUGGUCUGACUCUGGCAGCCUCAGUCUCCCAGAGCCCGUGGGAACUCGGCAGCCGGCAGGCGGAAGGCUGGGCGACGUCAGAAGAAGUAAAGGGGGAAGAACUUUACUCUUAGGAUCUGGCUGGACUCUAAAGGGCACAGUCAAGUCCCUGGAUACCGAGCACAGGGCUGAAC
rnacentral:lncRNA from 1 species